GAGAGCCGUAUGAUGGGAAACUAUCACGUACGGUUCGGGGAGCAGUUGCAAAGCGCGCUGACUCUAC
rfam:Rhizopogon vinicolor AM-OR11-026 unplaced genomic scaffold K503scaffold_1279, whole genome shotgun sequence.